rnacentral:rRNA from 1 species
ACUCAAAUGAAUUGACGGGGGCCCGCACAAGCGGCGGAGCGUGUGGUCUAAUUCGAUGCUACACGAAGAACCUUACCCAGGCUUGACAUGCAGGAGGUAGGGAAGGGAAACCGGACCGACCCGCAAGGGAACCUGCACAGGUGCUGCAUGGCUGUCGUCAGCUCGUGCCGUGAGGUGUUAGGUUAAGUCCUGUAACGAGCGCAACCCGCGUGGUCUGUUAUACGUGUCAGGCCAGACUGCCGUUUUCAAGACGGAGGAAGGUGCGGAUGACGUCAAGUCAGCAUGGCCUUGAUGCCUGGGGCUACACACACGCUACAAUGGGCAGUACAAUGGGACGCCAAGUCGUGAGAUGGAGCCAAUCCCCCAAAGCUGCUCUCAGUUCGGAUUGGAGGCUGCAACCCGCCUCCAUGAAGCCGGAGUCGCUAGUAACCGCGCGUCAGCUAUAGUGCGGUGAAUACGUUCCCGGGCCUUGUACACACCGCCCGU